CUUCUCUCCUUUCACCUUUUGAAUAUUCCUUUUUCUUUAAAUAUUUAUUUUUUUAAUUGUAGUUGGACACAAUGCAUUUAUUUUAUUUAUUUAUAUGUGGUGCUGAGGAUAGAACCCAGGGCCUCACAUGUGCUAGGUGAGUGCUCUACUGCUGAGCCACAACCCCAGUCCACCCCUUUUAAAUGUUCUUAACUUCCUUUUGCCUUCCUACUCCAUUUUCUUUUCUCUGAAUUAUCUGUAUUUUUAUUAUAUUUAAAAACCAUUUAGUUUAUAUAACUCCUGCCUCAUCAUUUAUGUUGCAGUGGCCGUUGGUGUUGUGGAUGUUGUAGUGGACACCUGGUGUUUACUUUAAUGACAUGUCUAGUUCAUGCCUGUAGUUUGUUUUUGCUAUUGUUAAUUUCCAACCCCACCAUUCUUGUUUGUGUGGUUAUUUAGAGUUAUAGAUAUCAUGGUAGGUUCCUAGUAUUUACUUUAAUGCUGUAUAUUGUUUUCUGCCUUUGUUGCUGGUUUUUAUAUCCCCCUUUUCUGUGAGGUAUUGGAAAUCUAGUUAUACUGCUGAGCUACACCCCAAACCCAGCUAAAAGACAGCACACUUGGUCCCAAACCCACUCAAACUUCAGCAAUACUUUAACACACACAUACACACACACACAAAAUAGAGGAGCAAAAAACUCCCACAGAGGCCCUCUAUAGAAACAGCUAGGGAGGGGCCUCAGGUCCUAUUUGUGAACAUCUGCUCCUAUGGCAGAUGUAGAUAUCACACCUAUGUAGAGACUCAACCUAGAGCACUCCUAAAUUACAGACAUACAGACUUGUCAAGUUUAGAAGAGCUACCACAGAGGGCAUACCUUAUAUGUCCUGCUGUAUAAAACACAACUGCCUGAUCUGCUAGAAGGAUCACACUCUUGUGUGUCCUACAGAAAAAGUGGGAUCUUAAGCUCCAGCACAUUACAGUGCUAUAUCAAAGUGUACUAUCAUCCCCCCAAAUGAUCAGGGAAACUAUACUAAUAACAUCCACUUGGAAAUAUAUUUAACAACUUACAACACUCUGAUGUCCCAGAACACAUUACCAAGAGAAGGUUGUACCUUAAAAAAAUCCCUCCCAUCAAAGUACAAGAGAACUCUGUCCCAACAGAUGAAAAAAUCAUAACACAAAAUAGAAACAUAAGAAAUAUAAAACAAGGUAACAUGACAUCUCCCAAGGUUUAUAAUUCAC
rnacentral:lncRNA from 1 species